rnacentral:rRNA from 1 species
ACUUACGGCCACACCACCCUGAAAAUGCCUGAUCUCAUCUGAUCUCGGAAGCUAAAAAGGGUCAGGCUCGGUUAGUCCAAGGAUGGGAAACAUGCCUUGCUUCGAAUC